ACUUGUCAAGUAUAUGCAGGGAUGGCCGAGUGGUCUAAGGCGCCAGACUCAAGCAAAGCUUGCCCAGGUUCGGGUAUUCUGGUGGGCGUAUGCCCGCGUGGGUUCGAAUCCCACUUCCUGCAAAUA